rnacentral:misc_RNA from 1 species
GAUGAAGAACGCAGCGAAAUGCGAUAAGUAAUGUGAAUUGCAGAAUUCAGUGAAUCAUCGAAUCUUUGAACGCACAUUGCGCCCCCUGGUAUUCCGGGGGGCAUGCCUGUUCGAGCGUCAUUUCACCACUCAAGCCUCGCUUGGUAUUGGGCAACGCGGUCCGCCGCGUGCCUCAAAUCGACCGGUUGGGUCUUCUGUCCCCUAAGCGUUGUGGAAACUAUUCGCUAAAGGGUGUUCGGGAGGCUACGCCGUAAAACAACCCCAUUUCUAAGGUUGACCUCGGAUCAGGUAGGGAUACCCGCUGAACUUAAGCAUAUCAAUAAGCGGAGGA